AGAGUUUGAUCCUGGCCCAGGAUGAACGCUGGCGGCGUGCUUAACGCAUGCAAGUCGAACGAGAAUUUAAUAUUUGAUUUCUUCGGAAUGAAGAUAUUGAAGGAAAGUGGCGGACGGGCGAGUAACGCGUGAGUAACCUACCCUAUGCAGGGGGACAACAUCGGGAAACCGGUGCUAAUACCGCAUAAGACCACAAUAUCGCAUGGUAAAGUGGUCAAAACUCUGGUGGCAUGGGAUGGACUCGCGUCCAAUUAGCUAGUUGGUGAGGUAACGGCUCACAAAGGCGACGAUUGGUAGCCGAACUGAGAGGUUGAUCGGCCGCAUUGGGACUGAGACACGGCCCAGACUCCUACGGGAGGCAGCAGUGGGGAAUAUUGCGCAAUGGGGGAAACCCUGACGCAGCAACGCCGCGUGAAGGAAGAAGGCUUUCGGGUUGUAAACUUCUUUGAUUAGGGAAGAAAAUGACGGUACCUAAAAAACAAGCCACGGCUAACUACGUGCCAGCAGCCGCGGUAAUACGUAGGUGGCAAGCGUUAUCCGGAAUUACUGGGUGUAAAGGGCGUGUAGGCGGGUAAAUAAGUCAGAUGUGAAAUUCCGAGGCUCAACCUCGGCGCUGCAUCUGAAACUGUUUAUCUUGAGUAUCGGAGAGGAAAGUGGAAUUCCUAGUGUAGCGGUGAAAUGCGUAGAGAUUAGGAGGAACACCAGUGGCGAAGGCGGCUUUCUGGACGAUUACUGACGCUGAGGCGCGAAAGCGUGGGGAGCGAACAGGAUUAGAUACCCUGGUAGUCCACGCUGUAAACGAUGGAUACUAGGUGUAAGGGGUAUCGACCCCCCUUGUGCCGGAGUUAACACAAUAAGUAUCCCACCUGGGAAGUACGACCGCAAGGUUGAAACUCAAAGGAAUUGACGGGGGCCCGCACAAGCAGUGGAGUAUGUGGUUUAAUUCGAAGCAACGCGAAGAACCUUACCAGGACUUGACAUCCCUUGACAACCCUAGAGAUAGGGCAUCCCUUCGGGGCAAGGAGACAGGUGGUGCAUGGUUGUCGUCAGCUCGUGUCGUGAGAUGUUGGGUUAAGUCCCGCAACGAGCGCAACCCCUAUUGUUAGUUGCCAUCAUUAAGUUGGGCACUCUAGCGAGACUGCCGGUGACAAAUCGGAGGAAGGUGGGGAUGACGUCAAAUCAUCAUGCCCCUUAUGUCCUGGGCUACACACGUACUACAAUGGCGACUACAACAGGAAGCAAGACCGCGAGGUGGAGCAAAUCCCAAAAAGUCGUCCCAGUUCGGAUUGCAGGCUGAAACUCGCCUGUAUGAAGUCGGAAUUGCUAGUAAUGGCAGGUCAGCAUACUGCCGUGAAUACGUUCCCGGGCCUUGUACACACCGCCCGUCACACCAUGAGAGUCGAUAACACCCGAAGUCGGUAGUCUAACUUAUAGAGGACGCCGCCGAAGGUGGGAUUGAUGAUUAGGGUGAAGUCGUAACAAGGUA
rnacentral:rRNA from 1 species